UCUUGGGUUGUAAACCCCUUUUCUCUGGGAAGAAAGUUGUGAAAGCAGCCUGACGGUACCAGAGGAAUCAGCAUCGGCUAACUCCGUGCCAGCAGCCGCGGUAAGACGGAGGAUGCAAGCGUUAUCCGGAAUGAUUGGGCGUAAAGCGUCCGCAGGUGGCAGUUCAAGUCUGCUGUCAAAGACCGGGGCUCAACCUCGGAAAGGCAGUGGAAACUGAACAGCUAGAGUAUGGUAGGGGCAAAGGGAAUUCCUGGUGUAGCGGUGAAAUGCGUAGAGAUCAGGAAGAACAUCGGUGGCGAAGGCGCUUUGCUGGACCAUAACUGACACUCAGGGACGAAAGCUAGGGGAGCG
rnacentral:rRNA from 1 species